CAUAAACUACUGAAUGGAUCGCCAUCAAAGUUGGAACAGACAUUCAUGUUUUCCAGAGGAUGAAGCCUGAGUUUGAUGAUCUUCUCACUUUUUGACUAGCGCCACCAUCAGGUGGAUCAUACCAAAAUGAACCCACAUAUUGCACCAUCCCUGAUCUUCCACCAAUGGGAAACAAGACCGACACAUAUCUAACUGAGUCGCCGUAUUCCAUGAUUACCGACCCUUUGCCUGAUGGUAAUAAAACAGGUACACCGCAGCUGAAUGACCGGACGUAUUCCUUACUGAAGAAACCCAAAGUGCUUGAGAACAAUGACCAAUACCUGCAUAGUUUUACAUAAACAUUUAGCUUCUGUCAGGUAAAAAUAUACUUCUGAAAGAGUUGUUUGUUGCAAACAACUGGAACGAAAAAAAU